UCGAGAAUUUUUCUCAAUGGGGGAAACCCUGAAGGAGCGACGCCGCGUGGAGGAUGAAGGUCUUCGGAUUGUAAACUCCUGUCAUUUGGGAACAAUUGCAGACGAUUAACUGUCGCCUGCUUGAUAGUACCAGAAGAGGAAGAGACGGCUAACUCUGUGCCAGCAGCCGCGGUAAUACAGAGGUCUCAAGCGUUGUUCGGAUUCAUUGGGCGUAAAGGGUGCGUAGGUGGCGGGGUAAGUCUGGUGUGAAAUCUCGGGGCUCAACCCCGAAACUGCACUGGAUACUGCCUUGCUCGAGUACUGGAGAGGAGAUUGGAAUUUACGGUGUAGCAGUGAAAUGCGUAGAUAUCGUAAGGAAGACCAGUGGCGAAGGCGAAUCUCUGGACAGUUACUGACACUGAGGCACGAAGGCCAGGGGAGCAAACGGG
rnacentral:rRNA from 1 species